UACGGGGGGGGCAAGCGUUGUUCGGAAUUAUUGGGCGUAAAGGGCUCGUAGGCGGCCAACUAAGUCGGAUGUGAAAUCCCCAGGCUUAACCUGGGAACUGCAUCCGAUACUGGAUGGCUUGAAUCCGGGAGAGGGAUGCAGAAUUCCAGGUGUAGCGGUGAAAUGCGUAGAUAUCUGGAGGAAUACCGGUGGCGAAGGCGGCAUCCUGGACCGGCAUUGACGCUGAGUGAGCGAAAGCCAGGGGAGCAAACGGG
rnacentral:rRNA from 1 species